GAUGAACGCUAGCGACAGGCUUAACACAUGCAAGUCGAGGGGCAGCGAGGGCGUAGCAAUACGCCUGUCGGCGACCGGCGCACUGGUGAGUAACACGUAUGCGACCUGCCCCCUACAGGGGUAUAACCCGUAGAAAUGCGGACUAAUCCCCCAUAGUCCUGAGUGCUGCAUGGCAUUCAGGGGAAAGGCCAGCCGGUAGGGGAUGGGCAUGCGGCGCAUUAGCUAGUUGGCGGGGCAACGGCCCACCAAGGCGACGAUCGGUAGGGGUUCUGAGAGGAAGGUCCCCCACAUUGGAACUGAGACACGGUCCAAACUCCUACGGGAGGCAGCAGUGAGGAAUAUUGGUCAAUGGGCGCAAGCCUGAACCAGCCAAGUAGCGUGCAGGACGACGGCCCUAUGGGUUGUAAACUGCUUUUAUAUGGGGAUAAAGUGAGCUACGUGUAGUUUAUUGCAGGUACCAUAUGAAUAAGGACCGGCUAAUUCCGUGCCAGCAG
rnacentral:rRNA from 1 species